AAACUUAAUAAUAAAUGCUGGUAUAUCUAGUGCAUUGUUGGCACCACGGGACCAGAAGGCAGUGACCCCCCUGGACCCAGCUUUCACUAUCUUGUGUGUGUCUGUUAUUUCUCAAUCUGCUGAUCUGCCUAACAACAGAGAGCCCCGUUGCAUUGCAGGCUGCUGGCCAGAUCCUGCAAUAUCUGGUGCCCAAUGUGGCCUUCUUUGUUCCUUGGCUCAGUGCACUCCAAGUGCCGUUUGUGAUGACUAGUCUUCAGUCUUGAAGGUGGAGGGAAGGAGUCUCUUCCAGAGCUGCAAACUGUGCUGCCUGUGUUUGGGGCAGCGAUGAUGCAAGCACUCUCUUGGCUGCACUAGCUGGUGUUUCACUAGGUCAUCUCCACCGAAUAUCCACUAACUUCAAGCCCAGCACAUCACCAGGACUUGUCCAGGAAUUGAAGUCUCUUUGGCCUAGACUGCUUUUUAAAUUUAUUUAAGACCCCCAAGAACUUUAGCCCAUACUGGUAGGUCUUGCCUGAACUCAGGCUCCUACCACUGAAAUGGAGAAUUUGCCUCUGGCUAGAGAAGCUCCCUCUGUAGGCACUGGCUGAGUUAUGCCCUGUGUUGCUUUCUGCUGUGACAGGGCAGUACUGAGUUCCAACGUCAAGUCGCACAAUUACUGUUUGCUGCCUCCCCUGAAUGCACAGAUUUUCUUUCCAUACCACUCAGCCAUUGCUGGGGGAUGAAGGAGGGCUGGUGUAGGUGAUUCAAGAUUGUCUUUCCCUCUUCAGUGCCUCUUUCCUUAAUAUAAUGUUAAAACCACACACUGCGAUUGCACUUCUGAUUUUUGGUUCUUCUGGAGGUGUUUUUUUUUGUUCGGAUAGUUCUUCAAUUUGGUGUUCCUAUAGGGAGGACAAUUGUUGGAGCCUUCUUUUCAUCCAUCUUGCCCCACUUUCCUCAGUUAUUAUAUAUUAUUGGCCUUCCUCAAAUAGUAAGGUGUAAAAUAGCAUAUUUUCAUACAUGGAAGUUAUUAUAUUGAAAAAUAGCAAACUUUAAUAAGAUAG
rnacentral:lncRNA from 1 species